ACGGGAGGCAGCAGUGGGGAAUAUUGCACAAUGGGCGCAAGCCUGAUGCAGCGAUGCCGCGUGAGGGAAGAAGGUUUUCGGAUUGUAAACCUCUGUCCUCAGGGACGAUAAUGACGGUACCUGUGGAGGAAGCUCCGGCUAACUACGUGCCAGCAGCCGCGGUAAUACGUAGGGAGCGAGCGUUGUCCGGAACUACUGGGUGUAAAGGGUGCGUAGGCGGGACGGCAAGUCAGAUGUGAAAUGUAUGGGCUUAACCCAUGAACUGCAUUUGAAACUGUUGUUCUUGAGUGAGGUAGAGGUAAGCGGAAUUCCUAGUGUAGCGGUGAAAUGCGUAGAUAUUAGGAGGAACAUCGGUGGCGAAGGCGGCUUACUGGGCCUUUACUGACGCUGAGGCACGAAAGCGUGGGGAGCAAACAGGAUUAGAUACCCUGGUA
rnacentral:rRNA from 1 species